CCCAGCAAAGGAAUUAUGCCAUAUCACACUAUAUAGCGCUGGAGAAUUUCUACGUGGGUCUUCCUCAGCUUUUAGUAGUAUAAUGUCUUAUUGAUCUCAACUUCUACAAAAAUUAUUUUGAUUUUCAAAAGGGAAUGAGGACAUGGCAGCAACAUAAACUACAAAAAAACUUUGGGUGGAAAGAUAUACCAAAAUAGUAAAAGCGAAAUUAAGAUCACAUUUUUCUUAUAUUCUUAUGUUUCAUGUUUUUAUAAGUUUCAUGUUGGAGUUUAUAAUUCUACAAAAAAUUUCAAAUGUAUAUGAUAAAUACUGUUUAUUUAGAGUAUGUGGCCACACACAUUUUCUCAGUCCUUCAGUAAACCCCCUUAAUCUACACAAUACCUCCUGAACAGCAAAGGUUCAGAAAUGCACGUUAGCCAUUCUCCUUUAUCUGUAUAAAACUCAACCUGAAAUCUGUCCUAAAUACCAAAAGGGAGUACAUUAUAGAAUGAGAAAGUUUACAAAAUGGAUUUUAUCUAUGCUGCACAUCAUCCCUUUCUUGCCAAAUCUUGUUUCCAUAAAAGCCAGAUAAGGGCCCUGACACAGCAGAUGAAAAAAUACAAUUUUUUCAAUAGCAAAAAAAGAGAGAUGCUAGUUGGAAACAUGGACAGAGUUUGUUUUCUAUUUCAAGUUAAGAAACUACACACAUCCCAUCUGGGGAAUUUAUUUUAUAACUUUAUUUUUACUUCUACAUAUAUAUUCACCUACAAAAACUUACAAACCUGUAUUUGUUAUACAGGACAGUGUGUGUGUGUGUGUGUGUGUGUGUGUGUGUGUGUGUGUGAAAUAAAUUAUUACUGAAGUCUACCUUAUCGAGUCCCCCUUCCUCUUCAUCAUUAUCACAACCCUCAAGCAUUCUUUUGCUCUCCUUUAAGGUUUUGACCAUUGAAGUGAGAAAAGACAAAGGAAGGAAAGAAGAUGACUAAAAGAGAAAAAAGAAACCAGUAAAGGAAAGAAAGCUGAAUAAUAAGUUUAAGAAAGAAUUCUGGAACAUAUUGUGUUCGAGAAGGAUAGUGGGGAUAGGGAAUCAACAUUAGUGUUAAGUUGUUAUUUCCCUGCUAAAGUCAUUUAACUCUGAGCAUCUCAUAGUUAUGCAAAAAAUAAUUAACACUUUCUAAAUUGAAGAAUGUAACCAACUUCAUUAGAGCUACAGUGUAAUGCAAAUAGAGAAACUGAUGGAGAUGGUGGAGAUAGAAAGAUUUCAUCUUGAUUCUAAACAUUUUUGUUUUUAAAAAUAUAAUUUAUGGAUAUUGUGUCAUAAAGCAGAUCAUUACAAAAGAGGAAAUUUCCUCCUGUAAAUAAUAUGCAAACGGAAAAUACAUUUCAUUGCAGGGAUUCUGCCCCUGAAUUAUACAAUACCAUACCAUACGAAAGUUCCAACAAGCUUAUACUUAGGUUUGGGAAAAACAUAUAAACAUGGUUUUAAAUCAUGAAUAGCUAGGUACUAGCUAAUAUAAGCUCUAAAAUCAAGAUGAAAGGAAUUAAAUUAUUAACUUGGAGAGCAAGAGUCUCUUAAAAUCAAUCACUCCUUUACACUGGUAACUCAAGCCCAGAUUUCUUACACCCAACAAAGUCAUCAAGUGCAGAAAAGAAGAGAAACAGGUACUCUUUCUGUAUUAACAAGUGGAAGUGGUCUUCCUGAAACAAC
rnacentral:lncRNA from 1 species